GUGGGGAAUAUUGGACAAUGGGGGGAACCCUGAUCCAGCCAUGCCGCGUGUGUGAAGAAGGCCUUUUGGUUGUAAAGCACUUUAAGCGAGGAGGAGGCUACCGAGAUUAAUACUCUUGGAUAGUGGACGUUACUCGCAGAAUAAGCACCGGCUAACUCUGUGCCAGCAGCCGCGGUAAUACAGAGGGUGCAAGCGUUAAUCGGAUUUACUGGGUGUAAAGCGCGCGUAGGUGGCCAAUUAAGUCAAAUGUGAAAUCCCCGAGCUUAACUUGGGAAUUGCAUUCGAUACUGGGUGGAUAGAGUAUGGGGGAGGAUGGUAGAAUUCCAGGUGUAGCGGUGAAAUGCGUAGAGAUCUGGAGGAAUACCGAUGGCGAAGGCAGCCAUCUGGCCUAAUACUGACACUGAGGUGCGAAAGCAUGGGGAGCAAACAGGAUUAGAAACCCUAGUAGUCC
rnacentral:rRNA from 1 species